rnacentral:rRNA from 1 species
AUUGAACGCUGGCGGCAUGCCUUACACAUGCAAGUCGAGCGGCAGCACGGGGCAACCUGGUGGCGAGUGGCGAACGGGUGAGUAAUGCAUCGGAACGUACCUUUCAGUGGGGGAUAACGUAGCGAAAGUUACGCUAAUACCGCAUAUUCUGUGAGCAGGAAAGCAGGGGAUCGCAAGACCUUGCGCUGAUUGAGCGGCCGAUGUCAGAUUAGCUAGUUGGUGAGGUAAAGGCGCACCAAGGCGACGAUCUGUAGCGGGUCUGAGAGGAUGAUCCGCCACACGGGAACUGAGACCCGGUCCAGACUCCUACGGGAGGCAGCAGGGGGGAAUUGUGGACAAUGGGGGCAACCCUGAUUCAGCCAUGCCGCGUGAGUGAAGAAGGCCUUCGGGUUGUAAAGCUCUUUCGGCCGGGAAGAAAUCGCACGGGCUAAUACCCUGUGUGGAUGACGGUACCGGAAUAAGAAGCACCGGCUAACUACGUGCCAGCCGCCGCAGUAAUAC